AUUGAACGCUAGCGGGAUGCCUUACACAUGCAAGUCGAACGGAGUGGCGAACGGGUGAGUAAUGUAUCGGAACGUGCCCAGUACCGGGGGAUAACUACGAGAAAGCGUAGCUAAUACCGCAUACUAUUGGCGCGGCCGAUAUCGGAUUAGGUAGAUGGUGGGGGAACGGGUCACCAAGGCGACGAUCCGUAGCUGGUUUGAGAGGACGAUCAGCCACACUGGGACUGAGAAACGGACCAGACUCCUACGGGAGGAAGCAGUGGGGAAUUUUGGACAAUGGGGGAAACCCUGAUCCAGCCAUCCCGCGUGGGCGAUGAAGGCCUUCGGGUUGUAAAGCACUUUUGGCAGGAAAGCGGUACCUGCAGAAUAAGCACCGGCUAACUACGUGCCAGCAGCCGCGGUAAUUC
rnacentral:rRNA from 1 species